UCGCGCUAGACGGGGAAUCAGCGGUGCCCUGAAUCCCGAUUAAUUUCGGGGUGACCUGCAACCCGCUAUAGCAGGGUUGAAUCCCUUUCUGCGAUCGGAUCUCUUUGAAAAUCGUUACGAAAAAGUGGUAUUGAAGGUUGGGCUCUAUGCAAUAGGAGGGCGGAAACCCCGCCAGGUCCGGAAGGAAGCAACGGUAACCGUUUUAUUCUAUGUGCCGUAGAUAUACCUGACUGGAGCCGGCUGAUCGUGACAUUUCAUCGGGUACCGAACAAGGAAAGGUGCGCGA
rnacentral:SRP_RNA from 1 species